rnacentral:rRNA from 1 species
CCAGACUCCUACGGGAGGCAGCAGUGGGGAAUAUUGCACAAUGGGGGAAACCCUGAUGCAGCAACGCCGCGUGAGUGAAGAGGUAUUUCGGUAUGUAAAGCUCUAUCAGCAGGGAAGAAGAUAACGGUACCUGAUUAAGAAGCCCCGGCUAACUACGUGCCAGCAGCCGCGGUAAUACGUAGGGGGCAAGCGUUAUCCGGAUUCACUGGGUGUAAAGGGAGCGUAGACGGCCAGGCAAGCCUGGAGUGAAAGCCCGGGGCCCAACCCCGGGACUGCUCUGGGAACUGUCCGGCUGGAGUGCGGGAGGGGCAGGCGGAAUUCCUGGUGUAGCGGUGAAAUGCGUAGAUAUCAGGAGGAACACCGGCGGCGAAGGCGGCCUGCUGGACCGCGACUGACGUUGAGGCUCGAAAGCGUGGGGAGCGAACAGGAUUAGAUACCCCUGUAC